CACACUCUGCACUCAUUACAAACACACUACAUUCAUUAUACAUACUCUGUACUCGUUACAAACACACUACAUUCAUUAUAUACAUACUGCACCCAUUAUACACAAUUUGCACUUACUACAAACAAACUACAUUCAUUAUACACACUCUGCACUCAUUACAAACACACUACAUUCACUAUACACACUCUGCACUCACUACACACACACUGCAUUCACUUUACACACUCUGCGUUCAUUAUACACUCUCUGCACUCACUACAAACACACAACAUUCACUACACACACUACAUUCAUUAUACACACUCUGCACUUACUACAAACACUCUUCACUCAUUAUACACACUCUGCACUCAUUACAAACACACUACAUUCAUUAUACACACUCUGCACUCGUUACAAACACACUACAUUCAUUAUACACACUCUGCACUCACCACACACACACUACAUUCAAUAUACACACUGCAUUCAUUAUACACACUCUGCACUCACUACACACACUGCAUUCAUUAUCCAAACUCUGCACUGACUACAAACACAGUACAUUUAUUAUACACACUGCACUCACUACAAACACACUACAUUCACUACACACACUGCAUUCAUUAUACACACUCUGCACUCACUACACACACUGCAUUCAUUAUCCAAACUCUGCACUCACUACAAACACACUACAUUCACUACACACACUGCAUUCAUUAUACACACUCUGCACUCACUACAAACACACUACAUUCAUUAUACACACUCUGCACUUACUAAAACACUCUGCACUCAUUAUACACACUCUGCACUCAUUACAAACACACUACAUUCAUUAUACAUACUCUGCACUCGUUACAAACACACUACAUUCAUUAUACACACUCUGCACUCACCACACACACACUACAUUCAAUAUACACACUCUGCAUUCAUUAUACACACUCUGCACUCAUUACAAACACACUACAUUCAUUAUACACACUCUGCACUCACUACAAACACACUACAUUCACUACACACACUGCAUUCAUUAUACACACUCUGCACUCACUACACACACAGUACAUUUAUUAUACACACUGCACUCACUACAAACACAGUACAUUUAUUAUACACACUGCACUCACUACAAACACACUACAUUAAUUAUACAUACUCUGCACUCACUACAAACACACAACAUUCAUUAUACACACUCUGCACUCACCACACACACACUACAUUCAAUAUACACACUCUGCCUUCAUUAUACACACUCUGCACUCAUUACAAACACACUACAUUCAUUAUACAUACUCUGCACUCGUUACAAACACACUACAUUCAUUAUACACACUCUGCACUGCACUAUAUGCAUUGAAGUGUAAAUUUUGGUUCUUUUUUUUAGGGGACGGGGAGGAAUCUUGGGUGAGUUCCCACACCUUUUUCCCCAGAACUUGACCCCUGUUUAAAAGAAGAAAAACUACCACAGCAAGAGGACAUAGUCUUAAAUUAAGGUUUAAAAAUAAUAUCAGGAAGUAUUAGUUUACUGAGAGGGUAGUGGAUGCAUGGAAUAACCUUCCAGCUGAAGUGGUAGAGGUUAACACAGUGAGGGAGUUUAAGCAUGCGUGGGAUAGGCAUAAGG